rnacentral:lncRNA from 10 species
UUUUCCACCAUCUAAAACUACUGUUAACAAUUUAGUGUAGGUUCUUACAGACUUUUCUGUGUGUGUGUGUGUGUGUGUGUGUGUUUGUGUGCAUGCACUAGGUUGAACCUUAUGAAAUUGCCUUUUAUAUAAGUCAAAAACAGCCAAAUUUUCAUUUGAUUCAAUCAAACACAAGCAUGUACACACAGACAAAUACACACAUAUUUAAACAAAAUGGGGCCAUACCAUAAUACGGUUUUGUAGACUUUAAUUUUUGUUUUCACCAUGCUGGAGAUCUAGAAAUAAUAUAUCACAGUGGUCCAGGCCAUCCAUGGGUUCUGGGUUCAUGGGUUCAAAACCAGUUUCCACUGUGUGCUUACCUGGGUGGGCUACUGAGGUCUCCCUUUGCCAGGCUUUCCCUCUUGUACAGUGGGGAUAGGCAUAUUACCUUCCAUACCGGGUUGUGGUGAGGGCAGAUGAAUUACCACAUAUAAAGUGUUUAGACCAAUGCCUUGACAUGUAUCAUUCAGUCAAUGUUAGUAUCACUAUAAUUCCAGAUGACCAGGGGGCGAUGUAUCAUUUCAUUGUGAUCUGUCCUCUAUUAAUAACAUUUUCCACUAUUGGGGUGAAAUCCUUGUGCAUUCACCUAAGUAUAUGUAUCCAUUGGCUUACUUACUCUUUAAGGACUUAGGCUUUGAGGUUUUAGCUUUCAAGAAUUCUUUUUGCUAAUGUGUUUCAAGCUGGGUAGUAAGUACAGGGGAAGUUUCCUUGGGCGGCUGCCCUAUGGCUCUAUAAAUUAGGCUUCCAGGUCAUGGCCCUGGUCUUAGUCCAUUCUUGCUGCUAUAACAAAAUACCAUAGACUGGGUCUAUAAACAAUAGAAGCUUAUUUCUCACAGUUCUGGGGGCUGGGAAGUCCAACAUCACAGCGCCACCAGAUUCAGUGACUGGCAAGAACCUGUUCCAUAGAUGGCAUUUUCUCGCCGCAUCCUCACAUGGCAAAAAAAAAGGUAGAAGAGAUGACUGGUGUGCCUUCGCAUGCAGAAGAGGUAGAAAGGGCAAGCAGCUCUCCAAAGCCUCUUUUUUUUAAGAGACAGGGAUUCACCAUGUUACCCAGGCUGGCCUCAAACUCCUGGGCUCAAACGAUCCACCUGCCUCAGCCUCUCAAAGUGCUGGGAUUACAGGCAUAAGCCACCACGCCCGGCCUCCAAAGCCUCUUUUAUAAGGGCAUUUGUCCUUAUAAAAGACUUAAUCAUUUCCGAAAAGUCCCUACCUCUUCAUACCAUCACAAUGGAGAUUAAGUUUCAACAUGAAUUUUGGAGGGGACACACAUAUUUAAACUAUAGCGCCCCAUCUCUGCUUUUCUACUCACUAGAAACAGUGACUGUUCACCAGUCCCCAACUCUGGGCCUUGCUCACUUCUGUGGCUCAGUCAUGCUGUCAUCUCUACCUGAAUGCCCUGGCAGGCCCCCUUUCCACACCAGCUUCUCAGCUGGUUAGGUUGGUUCUUCCUUCAGGCAGCCAUCACCAAUCCUUAAGCCUCAGAUAGAUGCCCACACCCCAGGCCUCCAUACAGUCCAUACCCACCAAUCUCUCUCCUCUCACAAGGUGGACACAAUGCCAUCACUUUCUCCCCAUCUAGACCUCACUCUGAAACCAGGACUAAGUCUUAGUGAUCUGUGAGUUGACUUAAUGCAACACUUGACCGGGUGCUCAAUACACCUACCCAGGAGUUUGAGACCAGCCUGAGCAACAGAGUGAGACCCCAUCUCUAUAAAAACUUAAACAAUGGUGGCUUAUAUUUAUAAUCCCAGCACUUUGGGAGGCCAAGGUGGGUGGAUCACCUGAGGUCAGGAGUUCGAGACCAGCCUGGCCAACAUAAUGAAACCCCAUCUCUACUAAUUGU